rnacentral:lncRNA from 1 species
UCUGGUAUCUACCCCCGCAGAGAGUCGGAUGUAUACAGUGCCUCAGUACCUCCAGCGUUGGAGCAGCAUGAGUUCGGGUGGUGGCGCUGUACCGCGCUCCUGCGCAACUCACCGGGACUACUUCUGCAUGUCAAGAGCUGGGGUUGCAGACUCUGAAGCCAUGGUGAUUCCCCCACCCCUGAGCCCUGGAGUUAUUCCCCUCCUGGUGGUGGAUGUAGCACACUCACCCUAUGUGUGUUCUACUAGUUUGGGGUGUCAUUUGGGCACUCUAAACCCAAAGUGAAUGGGCAAUCCUGACUGUGAGGGAGGAGACAGAUCGGAAAUUGAUGGCAGUGGAUCAUGGGAUGUGGCAUACUGUUUUCCUGUUUCAUUGACUGAUGAGUGACCUAUUUUAUAAUUCAGCCUCAUCAAUUUGAUUCAUUUUAAAUCCAAAGUAUUGUCAUAAAUUAUUUUAUAUCAAUUGGUUAAAAUACCUUUUUAUAACCAAAA